UGGCAAGCGUUGAAGAAGAAGAGUAACUUAUACAAAUUCUUAAGAGAGCUAAUGGUUGGUGAGAAUUAGUGCUGAUGUAUAAGUGAAUGGGCUUCUGAGCACCAAACCGAACGUUUUUACUAGUAGGCUUUGGCGAUAUGUCUCAUCGUUACAAGAGACAGAUAUUAACGGAAAAAAUUCCCUGAUAUCUUAGAGUGAGGUUUUUAAAACUUCUGAAAAAAGGUGGCACCGCGGUCCCUCGUCCUUUGU
rnacentral:ncRNA from 1 species